rnacentral:tRNA from 1 species
AAAUAAGAAACGAAAAAUCGUAUUUAAUUUCGACUUAAACCCUUGUUUUAAAAAACCUUAUUUA